AGUGAACGCUGGCGGUAGGCCUAACACAUGCGAGUCGAACGGCAGCACAGUAAGAGCUUGCUCUUACGGGUGGCGAGUGGCGGACGGGUGAGGAAUACAUCGGAAUCUACUUUUUCGUGGGGGAUAACGUAGGGAAACUUACGCUAAUACCGCAUACGACCUACGGGUGAAAGCAGGGGAUCUUCGGACCUUGCGCGAUUGAAUGAGCCGAUGUCGGAUUAGUUAGUUGGCGGGGUAAAGGCCCACCAAGGCGACGAUCCGUAGCUGGUCUGAGAGGAUGAUCAGCCACACUGGAACUGAGACACGGUCCAGACUCCUACGGGAGGCAGCAGUGGGGAAUAUUGGACAAUAGGCGCAAGCCUGAUCCAGCCAUACCGCGUGGGUGAAGAAGGCCUUCGGGUUGUAAAGCCCUUUUGUUGGGAAAGAAAAGCAGCAGGUUAAUACCCCGCUGUUCUGACGGUGCCCAAAGAAUAAGCACCGGCUAACUUCGUG
rnacentral:rRNA from 1 species